rnacentral:lncRNA from 1 species
UUUUUAUUUUUUUAUUUUUAUUUUUUUUAAUUUAUGAUAGUCACACACAGAGAGAGAGAGGCAGAGACACAGGCAGAGGGAGAAGCAGGCUCCGUGCACCGGGAGCCCGACGUGGGACUCGAUCCUGGGUCUCCAGGAUCGCGCCCUGGGCCAAAGGCAGGCACCAAACCGCUGCGCCACCCAGGGAUCCCUAAAUUGUACAUUUUAAUGACAGUUUUGGGACUACCCAUGCCAAGCCCAGCUUGGACCAAACUCCAGCCAAGUUAUACUGAGUGAAAGAAAUGAUUGUUUUUGGAAGCCAUGGAGUUUUGAAGUUUGGAAGUAGCUCGGUAGACAGAUCAUUGAGGCACAUAGGUUAGUGACUUUUAAAAUCACACAUGAGAGGAGAAUUAUAGAAGACAUUUCCAGCUGUCUACUCACAUUUUGGAUAUGAUGUGGCAUCAUAGUUGGAGUCUACAAGAACUUUCAUUUCAUGACUGGAAAUGCAGGCAGUCUCCUAACUGCAGAGUGGAAACAGACAUCUGGCUUUGAUACUGCAACUGUAAUUAUUUAUGUUUCACCCUUGAGAGGAUGUGGCUUCAGUAAAUUAUGCACUUGCUUGUUGAUUCUUUGAAAUCCUCUCACAAAAGCAGGGGUUCUAAGUGACACUAACACGGUACCUUUGCGGGAGGGGUGCGGCUGGCCUGUUGUCGGGUGCUGUGCAGUGAGCCUUGGCCCUCCCACUGCCUGCGUGCUCUGGGAAGGCUGCUACUGCAGGUGAGACACCCUGGGCCCUUCCCCAGAGAGCAGUGCUUACACCUCCUGCUUCUUUCCAGCUUCCUCAUUCAAUUAUUGCUAAUAUAGUUUUUUCCUCUUGUUAACUAUGUUCAUACUAAUGAAUUUUGGAGCUUAUUCUUCCUUUCUUAUUCCUUAAGGAAGUCUCUGUUCAAGGGUUUUUUGGUUUUGUUUUCUUUUUUAAGAUGGGGAAAUCAAAAGCAUUUCUCCUUUCCAUCUCUAUGCAUAUACUUCUCUGACCUAAUUCCUACAGAGAAAGACAAAAACAUACCUUUUAAUGCUGGGCCACUGAGAAUACAGAGAAAGAAACACUGCAGAAGAAGACUCAAUUUAAUUCAGAUUCAAUAAAUUUUGAGUUGGAACAGACACACUGAAUAUAUUGCCUGAAUUUUCUGGAUGACACCCAUGGAGGUCAAGUGAUGUGGCUCAUCAGGGCCUGAGCCAGGACUAGAGAGCAGAGACCUGGGCUGGGACUCCAGCCAUGUGGUCUAGACAUCUCAUCAUCAGAGGAGAGAAGGAGGGGACCAGGCCAUGCUCUUCCAGGGCCAGACAAGAUACCUGCAGGGGUGAGAAAUCCCACGAUGGCAAAGCUCCUACAUAUGACAACUGGAAACCCGUCACUGGAAAAGGGCCAGAGACCUGUACUGAGCACACACUCUGGACCAUCUCUAAUGUUUAAGAAGUACCUGGCCCCUAGAGUUGUCUUUAGUGGACGUGGUGCAAAAAUUGGCUACCAUUACCAGAAACAGGAAAACUGUCCCUGGCUUUUUAAAUUACUAUUUCAUAUCCACAUCCUGUUAAUUAACGGUAGUGAUUUUACUGAGGACACAUUCUUCUAGAGCUUAUUUGGAUCCAGCUGCUACCCCAGAGGUAGUGUGUUCAGAACAGAAACCAGAGGCAGACAGGAAAGCUUUGUUGAACUGCCACGAGGUCACAGCCUCUAACCACGGGUUCCCCUUAUGCAGCUGAUCUUUCUAGAAAUCACAGUUCAAAGCAGAUUUUGCCAGUCUGUGGAUGUACCUCCAAUUUCCAUAGCAAACCAAUCUUCAUUCUAAAAUUUUACCACCUGUAGAAGGCUUUAGCCCCAAUAGAAGAGAUAAGUAGUAAUUAGAGAAGUUUUUGUUACAGCUGAAAACCAGGAAGUGGCUUAUUGAGCCUUAAACAAAACAAAACAAAACAAAACAAAAAACAAAACAAAACUUGCCUGAAAAUAUUCAUGCUUUACUGAACGUACUAAAAAGUUUCAUUAUUUCACUACCUCCUUCUGAAAACACACAGGUCAAUUGUUUGUUUUUUAGUACUAAACAGAGGGAGGCUGGGAGGCCACCGAUUCACAGCAUCACACACAGGCCGCCACUAACUGAACCUGUUGAGAGGGCCCAACUGCUCCCUGUACCUGAAGUGCCACAUUGUUCUUGAGUAUAUCCAAAAGCCACCAGGGGCUGAAUUCUUUUUCAGGAGGGAUGAGGUGAGGAAGGUGGAAAGGGUGGUUCUUAACUUCUGGCCCCAUCUGAGCUCUCAGGCAAGACAGGAUCUAGCAGAGAGGAAAAUGGUUGAGGCUGGAAUUUAAAACAAAAGUUUUUGGUUCAGAUGGUAAGGAGGCCCUCAAUAACAGCAGAAUCAGUGUAUCCAGAAGGCAGUGCUGGAAUUCGCCUCAUGAACUAGGGAGUUU